rnacentral:misc_RNA from 1 species
AAAAAAAAAAAUUGAUGUACAUAAAUGAGAAGUGAAAAAAAAUAAAGUUAAAAAGAAGAAAAAUUAGGAGAAACUAAACCUAUAUAUGUAAUGAACUAAUGAUGAGAUUCAUGGGGCCUAAAAAGAAAGAACAAAUUACAAGGCUCAACCUAUGAACCUUUUGUUUUAUCUAUCCCAUUGCUUAUCUCAGCUUCUUCACCUUUGAUUUUCGCCUUUGUUUAUACAGCUGUCUACGUCUCUGGCUAGCUUUAAACGGAUCUGCCCAGUUCUUGUCCUGCUUCACAGCUCGUUCCCAUCGAUCCUUGAAUAUUUGCAGCUCAUAAGUUGAUUGUCUCCGAAUCUCAGAUCGCACAUCAACAACGUGCCUCUUCACAGACUCUUCAGAAUUUGAAUCCUUUUUCAGUGAUUGUCCGCCCAAAGUUUGGAUGCUCUGGUGCACUACAUAUUCACUAUCAACUACUCCCACCUUUUUGGAUCGAUCUCCCUGUGCACAAUAACCAAGUUUCAUGUCCAUUCCCCAUCCAUGAACAAGAUCAUUCUGUAUAAGAUGCCAGGCACAAAGCCAUGCAGAUCUGGAAAAGACCGGAGCCAUUCCCUCCACAAAUCCGGUGCAUGGGGGACCUUCGCUUUCGUCUGAACACUUCGUACUACCUCUAAUAUCGUAGACCCUUCUGUGGAACCUAUUUGUUCUGCUUCUUAUUGUGAUUCUAUGAUGGAUACCAGUUGAAUUCGGGUCUAAAGCUGGCUGAGAAAUUUCCAGUCCUUCAGAUUUUACUAUUUCAAGGUACCUUCCAGGAUGGAAAUUCUCCACACCCAAAUCUUCAUCCCAAAGGAAAAUGUAAUCAUAAAUUGAAACAACUGCAGGAUGUAAAAAUCUCUUCGCAAACCACCAUUUUGUCUGAUUGUGAGCAACAAUGUGAAUGGCAUCUUUACUCCAUUGGAGGUCUUCCCACCCA